rnacentral:rRNA from 1 species
UACAGAGGUCCCAAGCGUUGUUCGGAUUCAUUGGGCGUAAAGGGUGCGUAGGCGGCGAGGUAAGUCGGAUGUGAAAUCCCGGGGCUCAACCCCGGAACUGCAUUCGAUACUGCUUUGCUAGAGUACUGGAGAGGAGACUGGAAUUUACGGUGUAGCAGUGAAAUGCGUAGAUAUCGUAAGGAAGACCAGUGGCGAAGGCGAGUCUCUGGACAGUUACUGACGCUGAGGCACGAAGGCCAGGGGAGCAAACAGG